rnacentral:miRNA from 1 species
GGCUGGGGUUGUGGCUCAGUGGUAGAGCACUUGCCUGGCAUGUGUGAGGCUCUGGGUUCGAUCUUUAGUACCACAUAAAAAUAAUAAAUAAAUGGGCUUCGUGCAUGCUAGGCAGGUACUCCACCACUUCACUACACCCCCAGCC